AGCAGCCGCGGUAAUUCCAGCUCCAAUAGCGUAUAUUAAAGUUGUUGCAGUUAAAAAGCUCGUAGUUGAAUUUCGGGGGUCAGUAGGUUGGUCGUGCCACCGGUACGUACUGGUCUCACUGAUUCCUCCUUCCUGAAGAACCGUAAUGCCAUUAAUUUGGUGUUGCGGGGAAACAGGACUGUUACUUUGAAAAAAUUAGAGUGUUUAAAGCAGGCUAACGCUUGAAUACAUUAGCAUGGAAUAAUGAAAUAGGACGAUCGAUCCUAUUUUGUUGGUUUCUAGGAUUGACGUAAUGAUUAAUAGGGAUAGUUGGGGGCAUUAGUAUUCAAUUGUCAGAGGUGAAAUUCUUGGAUUUAUUGAAGACUAACUACUGCGAAAGCAUUUGCCAAGGAUGUUUUCAUUAAUCAAGAACGAAAGUUAGGGGAUCGAAGACGAUCAGAUACCGUCGUAGUCUUAACCAUAAACUAUGCCGACUAGGGAUCGGAUGAUGUUAAUUUUAUAAUGACUCAUUCGGCGCCUU
rnacentral:rRNA from 1 species